rnacentral:rRNA from 1 species
UAUGUAGGGGGCUAGCGUUGUCCGGAUUUAUUGGGCGUAAAGAGCGUGUAGGCGGCCAGAUAGGUCUGCUGUGAAAACUCGAGGCUCAACCUCGAGCUGUCGGCGGAAACCAUUUGGCUAGAGUCCGGAAGAGGAGAGUGGAAUUCCUGGUGUAGCGGUGAAAUGCGCAGAUAUCAGGAAGAACACCUAUGGCGAAGGCGGCUCACUGGCUCGUAACUGACGCUCAUGCACGACAGCGUGGGGAUCAAACAGG